rnacentral:rRNA from 1 species
CUCAGAUUGAACGCUGGCGGCAGGCCUAACACAUGCAAGUCGAGCGGUAACAGGAAUUAGCUUGCUAAUUUGCUGACGAGCGGCGGACGGGUGAGUAAUGCCUAGGGAACUGCCCAGUCGAGGGGGAUAACAGUUGGAAACGACUGCUAAUACCGCAUACGCCCUACGGGGGAAAAGAGGGGACCUUCGGGCCUUCUGCGAUUGGAUGUACCUAGGUGGGAUUAGCUAGUUGGUGAGGUAAUGGCUCACCAAGGCGACGAUCCCUAGCUGUUCUGAGAGGAUGAUCAGCCACACUGGGACUGAGACACGGCCCAGACUCCUACGGGAGGCAGCAGUGGGGAAUAUUGCACAAUGGGCGCAAGCCUGAUGCAGCCAUGCCGCGUGUGUGAAGAAGGCCUUCGGGUUGUAAAGCACUUUCAGCGAGGAGGAAAGCUUAAGCGUUAAUAGCGUUUAGGUGUGACGUUACUCGCAGAAGAAGGACCGGAGUU